rnacentral:rRNA from 1 species
CGAAAGCCUGACGGAGCAACGCCGCGUGAGGGAUGGAGGCCUUUGGGCUGUAAACCUCUUUUCUCAAGGAAGAAGAUCUGACGGUACUUGAGGAAUAAGCCACGGCUAAUUCCGUGCCAGCAGCCGCGGUAAUACGGGAGUGGCAAGCGUUAUCCGGAAUUAUUGGGCGUAAAGCGUCCGCAGGCGGCCGUUUAAGUCUGUUGUUAAAUCGUGGAGCUCAACUCCAUCACGGCAAUGGAAACUGUUCGGCUUGAGUAUGGUAGGGGCAGAGGGAAUUUCCGGUGUAGCGGUGAAAUGCGUAGAUAUCGGGAAGAACACCAGUGGCGAAAGCGCUCUGCUGGGCCAUUACUGACGCUCAUGGACGAAAGCCAGGGGAGCGAAAGGGAUUAGAUACCCCUGUAGUCCUGGCCGUAAACGAUGAACACUAGAUGUUGGGGGAAUCGACCCCCUCGGUGUCGUAGCUAACGCGUUAAGUGUUCCGCCUGGGGAGUACGCACGCAAGUGUAAAACUCAAAGGAAUUGACGGGGGCCCGCACAAGCGGUGGAGUAUGUGGUUUAAUUCGAUGCAACGCGAAGAACCUUACCAAGGCUUGACAUCCUGCGAAUCUCUAAGAAAUUAGAGAGUGCCUUCGGGAACGCAGUGACAGGUGGUGCAUGGCUGUCGUCAGCUCGUGUCGUGAGAUGUUGGGUUAAGUCCCGCAACGAGCGCAACCCACGUUUUUAGUUGCCAGCAUUCAGUUGGGCACUCUAGAAAGACUGCCGGUGACAAACCGGAGGAAGGUGUGGACGACGUCAAGUCAUCAUGCCCCUUACGCCUUGGGCUACACACGUACUACAAUGCUGCGGACAAAGAGUAGCGAUCUUGCGAAAGUUAGCUAAUCUCAUAAACCGUGGCUCAGUUCAGAUCGUAGGCUGCAACUCGCCUACGUGAAGGAGGAAUCGCUAGUAAUCGCAGGUCAGCAUACUGCGGUGAAUACGUUCCCGGGCCUUGUACACACCGCCCGUCACACCAUGGAAGUUGGCCAUGCCCGAAGUCGUUACUCUAACCUUUUGGAAGAGGGCGCCGAAGGCAGGGCUAAUGACUGGGGUGAAGUCGUAACAAGGUAGCCGUAGCGGAAGCUGCGGCUGGAUCACCUCCUAA